AGAGUUUGAUCCUGGCUCAGGACGAACGCUGGCGGCGCGCCUAACACAUGCAAGUCGAACGAGCGAGAGAGAGCUUGCUUUCUCGAGCGAGUGGCGAACGGGUGAGUAACGCGUGAGGAACCUGCCUCAAAGAGGGGGACAACAGUUGGAAACGACUGCUAAUACCGCAUAAGCCCACGGCUCGGCAUCGAGCAGAGGGAAAAGGAGCAAUCCGCUUUGAGAUGGCCUCGCGUCCGAUUAGCUAGUUGGUGAGGUAACGGCCCACCAAGGCGACGAUCGGUAGCCGGACUGAGAGGUUGAACGGCCACAUUGGGACUGAGACACGGCCCAGACUCCUACGGGAGGCAGCAGUGGGGAAUAUUGCACAAUGGGGGAAACCCUGAUGCAGCGACGCCGCGUGGAGGAAGAAGGUCUUCGGAUUGUAAACUCCUGUUGUUGAGGAAGAUAAUGACGGUACUCAACAAGGAAGUGACGGCUAACUACGUGCCAGCAGCCGCGGUAAAACGUAGGUCACAAGCGUUGUCCGGAAUUACUGGGUGUAAAGGGAGCGCAGGCGGGAAGACAAGUUGGAAGUGAAAUCCAUGGGCUCAACCCAUGAACUGCUUUCAAAACUGUUUUUCUUGAGUAGUGCAGAGGUAGGCGGAAUUCCCGGUGUAGCGGUGGAAUGCGUAGAUAUCGGGAGGAACACCAGUGGCGAAGGCGGCCUACUGGGCACCAACUGACGCUGAGGCUCGAAAGUGUGGGGAGCAAACAGGAUUAGAUACCCUGGUAGUCCACACCGUAAACGAUGAUUACUAGGUGUUGGAGGAUUGACCCCUUCAGUGCCGCAGUUAACACAAUAAGUAAUCCACCUGGGGAGUACGACCGCAAGGUUGAAACUCAAAGGAAUUGACGGGGGCCCGCACAAGCAGUGGAGUAUGUGGUUUAAUUCGACGCAACGCGAAGAACCUUACCAAGUCUUGACAU
rnacentral:rRNA from 1 species